rnacentral:rRNA from 1 species
UACGGGGGGGGGGCAAGCGUUGUUCGGAAUUACUGGGCGUAAAGGGUUCGUAGGUGGCCUGCUAAGUCAAACGUGAAAUCCCUCAGCUUAACUGGGGAACUGCGUCUGAGACUGGUGGGCUUGAGUGCAGGAGAGGAACGCGGAAUUCCAGGUGUAGCGGUGAAAUGCGUAGAUAUCUGGAGGAACACCGGUGGCGAAGGCGGCGUUCUGGACUGGCUACUGACACUGAGGAGCGAAAGCCAGGGGAGCAAACGGGG